UCUUUUAAAGAGUAGCUUGGACUGUAGAUUGGCGCCAAGUGCUUGAAUGCUGGCACUCUGAGAACGUAGCUUCUCCCGGCCAAACUUUUAAUGAUCGAGAAGUCUGGCUUGCUUAAAUGCGAAGCUGAAAUCCGGACGUUGGAAAGGAGCGCCUAGUGGGCCAAUUUUGGUAAGCAGAACUGGCGCUGUGGGAUGAACCG
rnacentral:ncRNA from 1 species